UGGGGAAUAUUGCACAAUGGGCGCAAGCCUGAUGCAGCGACGCCGCGUGAGGGAUGACGGCCUUCGGGUUGUAAACCUCUUUCAGUAGGGAAGAAGCGAAAGUGACGGUACCUGCAGAAGAAGCGCCGGCUAACUACGUG
rnacentral:rRNA from 3 species